AUGGCCCGUGCCCGAAUCUGCAAUGAGUGCUGCCCACUGCUCUACGGGUUGGUCGAGCUGCAAGCGGCCGCGUGCCUCUGCGACGUCCUCGGCGGUGUCCUCGGACUCCGCCUCGACGUCGUCCUCCUCCUCAACCAGUGCAGCAUUCCCUGCGAAUCCACCUACACCUGCCCGCGCUGA
rnacentral:rRNA from 1 species